rnacentral:rRNA from 1 species
AUUUAUUAGAUAAAAAACCAACGCCCUUCGGGGCUCCUUGGUGAAUCAUGAUAACUUAACGGAUCGCAUGGCCUUGCGCCGGCGACGGUUCAUUCAAAUUUCUGCCCUAUCAACUUUCGAUUGUAGGGUAUUGGCCUACAAUGGUAUCAACGGGUAACGGGGAGUUAGGGCUCGACUCCGGAGAGGGAGCCUGAGAAACGGCUACCACAUCCNNGGAAGGCAGCAGGCGCGCAAAUUACCCAAUCCCGACACGGGGAGGUAGUGACAAUAAAUACUGAUCCGGGGCUCUNUUGGGUCUCGGAAUUGGAAUGAGUACAAUUUAAAUCCCUUAACGAGGAACAAUUGGAGGGCAAGUCUGGUGCCAGCAGCCGCGGUAAUUCCAGCUCCAAUAGCGUAUAUUAAAGUUGUUGCAGUUAAAAAGCUCGUAGUUGAACCUUGGGCCUGGCUGGCCGGUCCGCCUCACCGCGUGCACUGGUCCGGCCGGGCCUUUCCUCCUGGGGAGCCGCAUGCCCUUCGCUGGGCGUGUCGGGGAACCAGGACUUUUACUGUGAAAAAAUUAGAGUGUUCAAAGCAGGCCUUUGCUCGGAUACAUUA